rfam:Klebsormidium nitens chloroplast DNA, scaffold: kfl01813, whole genome shotgun sequence.
GGAAGGAUGGCCGAGUGGUCGAUGGCGUAGCAUUGGAAAUGCUAUGUAGGUUUUGGCCUACCGAGGGUUCGAAUCCCUCUUCUUCCU